GACGAACGUUGGCGGCGUGCCUUACACAUGCAAGUCGUACGCGAAAGGGGAAACCAGCUUGCUGGGGACCCCGAGUAGAGUGGCGAACGGGAGCGUAACACGUGAGGAACCUGCCUCGGAGUGGGGAAUAACCCAGAGAAAUCUGGGCUAAUUCCGCAUGAUGCAGCGGCCCCGCAUGGGGACAGUUGUUAAAGACCGCCUCUGCUUGCAAGCGGUCGCUUCGAGAUGGUCUCGCGGCCUAUCAGCUAGUUGGCGGGGUAAUGGCCCACCAAGGCGACGACGGGUAGCCGGCCUGAGAGGGUGUCCGGCCUCAUUGGGACUGAGACACGGCCCAGACUCCUACGGGAGGCAGCAGUGAGGAAUCUUGCGCAAUGGGCGAAAGCCUGACGCAGCGACGCCGCGUGAGGGAUGAAGGCCUCGGUUGUAAACCUCUGUCAGGGGGCAAGAAUCCGGAGCCGGUGAAUACCCGGCUCCAUUGACGGUACCCCC
rnacentral:rRNA from 1 species